GUAAACAAAUUUCACUCAUGUAUGUACAUACAAAAUGCGAGGUAGUGACAGUAGAUACCCAGUAGCUUGCCAAUUUGUUUUGUUUUGCCUUCUUUUAUUUCGCUUUGUGAAAAUAAAACACACAAAAAUGCCAACUGAGGUAACAAGAGUGGUAACUGUUAUUUAACUAGUGUAUUUCCCAUAGCUAUACAUUGAUUACAUAAAAAUAGCUGAACAAAAUAUAAAUUAUUUGUAUUUUCGACAUGUUUAGACUAGAACAUACCGUAUCAUUACUGUUGGCCAAAAGUACUGAACGUAAAGGUUAGAAGUUUCUGAUACCUGAAAAAAGAUAAUACAAAUCAGCAGUUUGUUUACAGCUUAUUGUUGAUUUUCUGCCAAUUUGGUUUCGUGCCUGGGUUUCCGUUCGAUUGGGUUUUGUUUUGUUCCUAUUUUUAGUUAACAAAGGCAACAACUGCGCUAACUGUUAUUUAACAGGUAUUGUUGUUGCCGCUGGCAGUGCUUAUAGUUAUUUACUCGCCUCGGCUUAAGAAAUCGAAAAAGUAUUUAAAUGCAAUAUAAAAGAGAUUGAUUUAAGGCGAUAAAUCGAUUUCAUGUUUUUGCGAACUUGCUGAGCAGGGUAUUAAUAAUCUAAAAUUCCUGGAAUACAUACAUAAAAAAAGGUUUAUGAUCUUGACCCCGCUAACCAAAUAUGUGUUAAAAAACAAAACCGUGAUAGUAAAUCUGACCGCAAUUAAAUCCCAACCUUACCCAAUAUUAUGUUAGAGAUAAGAUGGAAGGUUUGAAAUUAAAGUGAGACACAUGAAGAAGUAUGAAAUAAUGUAGGAAGCAACUCGUAAUUUUUCAAUGUAACCUAAGAUCAAGGGUCUAUUUUCAAUGAAUGCCAGAGACUGUAUGACUUUGUAAUCCAAAAGUAUUGUGAAAUUUGAAAUAUGUAUUAUGAGCCCCGCCAGUGAUGCGUACAUUAUAGAGUUGAUAAUUUCGCAAUCUCUGUUGAUAAAGCUUCUAUCUCUGAGUGGCGAUCCGCAAAUAAACCCGUUUCUUUUGGGGCAUUGUUUUGCGUGCUUUCGUUCAAUCCACACGUCUUGUGCCAUGCCUUUGGCCCAGUAACCCCGAACCCAAGAUGAGUAAUGCCCCAUCUCAUCUGGCUGCCAUGCUGGGGGCUACUUCUGGUCUGGCUGAUAAGAAUUAGCGGCCUAUUUGCAUGCGGAUGAGUCAGACUGUGCCCACUUUGGCUCAGAUGUUGACUCUGGACAAAGAUUAAUCUAUAAUUGGGACAGAGACGCCCCACUGCGUAGCACAAAUUAGAAAUUAGCCGGGGCACGGCGCACUUUUUUGGCCGAGUUUAAUCGCAUUUGUGUAUUUUAAGAGCUCUCAAGGCGAUAAACUGGUCAAGUAGACGGGCAUUAAUAUAUAAGUAGCCAAAGACCCUGAACACUCCCACUUCCAAAUAAAGUUUAAGCAAGUGAGCAGUGAAAAAUCCGUGUAAGACAAGUUGUCAAUCUAUGAAAUACAUUUAAAAUGAACUUUUAAUCUGAAGCAAGAUGCAUAUGAUUUCGCUGUUUUGUUUGUGUAGAAAAAACAGAAGUGAUAUACAACUUCGGUGUUAUUUCUCGCUGUGCAGAAGGACCAUCAGGCGGUUGGAAAGUGUUUACUAAAUAUUUGAUGGCCAAGGCCAAAUGGGCUCCUCUCGCCUUCUUUUGGCACCUCACACCUCCUCACAUUUGUUGGGUCUUUUUUGUCUGUUCGAAAGGUCAUAAACCGCUGAUGCCGCUUCUGUUUUAUCUUCGGGAUACAUUUUGAGUUUGGGUUUGAGUUUUUCGUCUUUGUUUUGCUUUGUUUGUUUAUAAUUAUGCGCUCGCUUGGCUGGCUUAUAAUUAGAAACUGAAGCUAAGCAAGCAAAUUGGGAAUUUUUCAGUCACCAACUUUGAACUUUUCGACCGAGAGGCGAGAGGCGAAGAAGGGGGUGAAACUUUCACCAGAGGUUAAAAAAAGCCAGUGAAGACGGCAUAUUUUCCAGUUGGCUAAUUAAAAAUGUCAUUCUGGCUAAUUGCAGAUGAAAGUAAAUGUAAUUUGUAGUUAUGCCACUGCACUUCCAAAAUGUGUCGUCACAUUUCCUAUUUCCCUGUUUCCCUGUUUUCCCUCCGACUGCGCAAAUUGUAUCUUUAUGUUGAUUUUAUCUACGGCCGAAUGCGGCACGUAGAGCAUAUCCAGACUUUGAUUAGGGCUCACGCGGCAUUAGCGCAAGUCUUCCUUGCGGUCGCCAGUCGUACGUGACCCGUCUGAACCGGCGACCCAAUCCGAUCCCAUCCGACCCGGCUGAUGGCUGAUUCAUCCGGCUCCGCUUGACCCGUCAGAGCAAUCAAAUUCAAAUCAAAUCAGAAAAGGGAAUAAUGAGGGCAAGCACACACACACUCAUGCACUCAUCUACUUGGUGGCAAUGUCAGGGUUUGAAAUGCAUUCAAGUUCGAGGCGUAGCAAAUUAUCCUUGGCAAAGUUUGCUGGCUUGCUGUGUAUCUCGUUUUAAUUUGCCUGAUUUGUCUGAGGGUUGCGGAAAAGUUGUGUGUGCCAAUGCAGAGAUACAGAAAUUGCCACACUGUUAAUUUACUUUCAUGGAAGCUACGGCUGAAUGAAACUUUUUCCAUUCCGAUUAACAAUGCGGCGGUGGGAGGUGAAUUACAAUACUCGUAUCCUUAUCUUCUGUUAUGCGCAGCAAUUAACUUAAUAUUCUCAUAAAACUAGAGGGUUUUGCACUCCAUUAAUUGGAUUGGUUCUUAAACAAUUUCUUUGUUGAACUUGUGUAAUUGGAAUUCUUUUCCAAAUGUGAACUAAAAUAAACCAACUUGAAACUUUCUAUGAUCUGUACUUUUGUAAUUAAAAUUCUUUUCCAAAUGUGAACUAAAAUAAAGCAACUUGAAACUUUCUAUGCUUUAUUUUUAUAUGACUCAAAUUCUUAUCUAAGGAUCUUAAGAAUAUGUGAAAUUUACUGAAAGUAAUUGAAACUCUAUGAGGGCUAGAUUUUAUUAGGUUUACCCUAGCUUAUCUUUAUUAACAUACAAUAUUAUUUGGAGUGCCCUUAUCAGCAGGACACUUUUAAGGAAACAUUUUCCAAACUGUUUGCCUGCCUUAUCGGUAGAAAACAAAUCAUAAAUUUGAGUGGCACUAAUCCUUUCCCUUUCUCCAUUUACGGCGCUUAUCUACAAUGGUUUUUACUUGCGCGUUUUGGUGGUUUUUAUUGGUUACCUGAAAAUUGAAUUGCAUUUCAGCCAUUUACAAAUCAUUUAUUUGGCCGGGGGUCGGCGUACGCAAUAAAAAUGCACUUGGGAUAGGUUCGGUUAAUUUGAUGUUUGUGUGUUGCUUGUGUUAUUUGUGUUAUUUGUUAUUUGCGGUUCGCUUCGAUUUAUUUUUACACCAGGAAAUUUCAUGUUUUUCAUGUUCCCAAGGAAGUGGAACAUGUCGGUUGAUGGAUUGAUCGAUGGUAUUGGCUCCAUUAUGUGACGCUUUCUUUCCUUUCCCAUUUGUUUUUCAUUUUUUUUAUAUUUUUUUUUGCCCAGGUCUAAUUGUAUUUUAAGUGUCGAGCUCUUUGUUUAUAAAUAAAUGUGAAAUGGCUGUGCGGUAUUUUGAUUUCUGAUAAACAUGCAGGAAUGUUUUCCUCAUCGCUUUCAUGUAAUUUAUAAACUGCGCCAAUGUUUUUACUACAAAUUAAUCUAAAGCCAACCAAAAUAGCCGAAGAGAUGCGGCCAAUGUUGUCAGUGACAUAUUUCCCAGGUCCAAUUUGUAUCUCUGCCUGCCGAUCGAGCCAGCUGUUAAAGGUGCGGGGUGCGGCGGGGUCGAGUAUCUGUAUCUAUAAGUAGAAUUUAUAGCGCGACAAGCGACAGCAGUUGGCUGAAUUUUUGUUUUUUUUCGCUGUAGCGCGUGUUUGCCCACGAAAAGUUAGCCUUGAACUUUUUUUUUUUCUGCUCAUCUGCUGUCGUUCUUUUAUUUUGCACGAAACCCAAACAAUAUCUAGAGCAUCAUCGUCACAGCAUCACAUGUAUCAUUUCGUGUGUAUCUGUAUCUGUAUCUGUAUCUGAGCAGCAUCUGUACCUGCAUCUGCAUCUACAUUGGUGUCUGUGUGUUUGAUAAAUUGAAUUCUUUUCCGUUGGCUAUUUCACUGCAUUCAGUGGCAAUAUUUUUUAUCUUUAUUGUUCAUGCCGAAAUAUUAUGUCAACGGAAUGGUUCGCUCUUUGUUCGAAUGGAAUUCGAUUGCUCAACUUACAGAUAUCCUCUAGCAAAAGGUUAAGAAUUAAAUUCAGCCAUUUGGCAAAGAGAUAUUUUAUAGCUUACAAGUGCAAAUAACAAUUAAGUUUACCUGGUUACCAUAUAAUUUAUAUUGGCUAUAUAAAACCUACAUAUGUUUUAUAUAAUAUACCCCACUUGUUCCUAAUUUUUCCAGGGUAUACCAAUUUAUGCUGAUAGCUUUUCGAAUUGAUUCUGGGUGCAAUUUUAAUGGGAUUUACUUUAUUACGGUGUCAGUGCUGCUGGCACUGCUGUUGCUGCUGCUGCUGCUGUUGCUGUUGCUGUUGCUUUCCGCUGUCCCAACGCCAUCUGUGCAUCAUCGAGAUUACCGGCGACGAGUCAGCAGCUGUGCUUUUGGCCAUGACCGAUGAUUCAGGUCUGCGGGUGUGGAGGUGUGUCACUGUGGGAGUUUAGUGCUUGUUGUGGGCGGGGGAAUCACCUCAGCAAUCAGUUUGCCUCGGAAAAAAAAACACGAAUACAUGAAAAAAAAAGAAGAUAAGAGUAGGGAAAAGAAAGUGGUUAAGCACUCGAGUUUCUUAACUGUUUUGUUGCGGCUAGACCGAAAUUGAACCGAAAACCUAAACUAAAACCCAAACCAAUCGAUUUCCUGUUGCGUUCGCCGCGCUCUGACCCAAAUUCCUCCAAACGAAUUUUCCCCCUUGGCUGAUGGAGAGCCCCCUUCAGAGACCAGAAGCCGGGCCUCGACCCAAAUUCUCUAGUGCAACCGGAGGAGAAGGCGGGGAGAUCCCAGAUGCGCCCUCCCCUGCAUCUGAUGGUGAUGGUGGUGUUGAUGUUGGUGGUAGCGGUGGCAUUCUCCUCUAAGCGCAUUAACCGCGAUCCCGAGCCAAGUCGAGUGUCGAUUUGAGUUGAGUUGAGCUGGUGGCGUGUUAAUGCCCACAGCUGGCAAAUCUCCUGGUCAUUAGGGUCGAUGGAAAAGUGCAGCAGGAAAGUCAAUUAAAUUCGAUGUAUGUCAGCAUCAACCAGCAGCCAAGUGACCAAGUAUGUGUGUGUGUGUGCGAUCAAGUCAGGUGGGGAUUAAGCACAGUUUUCCACAUUGUGGUUAGUUUCUCCUUACAAAGUCGUUAGAUUCCAAUCAAUUAUCCAGUAUUCCAUGGCGUUGGAGCACUUGAAAGCCAUUGAUUAUUCCUACAAUACUUGCCAUCAUAUCAUAAGAUCUAGAAACUAAAAGCCAGGUCGUCAAUCAAAGUGUUUUAUAUCCAUUGCCAAUCAGUUGCAAGCCCAAAACCAAACAAUGCAAAAUUCAUUUCCUCGACAUUCAUUGUUGUUGCUAUUUCUGCUGUGGCCGCCAUCCUGUCCUGUCCAGCUUUUCCCGACCGUUGACUCAUCCAGUCAGUGUGUUGGUCGAACUGCUUCUGCUUGCACUGGAUUUUCCAUUUUUCAUUUCCGCCCCCCUCCGUUUUUUGUUUGCACUCGCGUCCAAGGCGAUGGCGAUGGCGAAUGCGAAGGUGCUGGCAUGGAAGUGGCGUUGAAACUUGGAGUACCACGACAUUGUCCAGGCAUGUCAACGUCAAGUUUGUUGACUCGUCCGGGCAACCUGCGCCCAAGUGGAGUUUAGCAGCAACACCAACAACGGCGACCGUAUCACCGCAAACAGCGGCAACACGAACGGGUGCACC